rnacentral:snRNA from 1 species
GAGUAGUAAAGCUCUUUUAGAAUUUGUCUAGCACAUUUUCUAACUGGAAGAUAUGCUA